UUUACUCAUAUUUGUAUGAAGUUGUAACUUUUGCCUACGUUUGCCGCUAGGGGCGCUGUUCCAAUUGUAUACAAAUUUGAGUUA
rnacentral:pre_miRNA from 1 species